CCAGGGCCGUGCCGGCAAAAAUUAAGGCCAUGUUCUAAGAUCUAAAAUAGGCUGACUUAUAGCACUAGGUAACUAAGAAUAUUUUCUAUACAAGCCACGAAUUAUAGGUAUAUCUUAAAAGAAUUCGGCUACUUGUUGGUUUCUAGCCUCCAAGUACCAAUUAUCUCAUUUGUUUUAUGGAUCCAUGACACUAUAAUAUAUAGUUUGACACUUGCCAACACACCUUCUUCCAAUAUCCAUCGCCAACGCUCUUUAUUUUGCACUUUAUAGUGUUAGCGGUUGAGUAUUGACUCGAGAUUCCUUAGCUAUCCUAUGGAGACGUGACUCAGCAAGUUGAAUUACACACAGAGUAGGCAGACUGAUGAAAAAACGACUUACAUAAAACUAUAUGGUGCUAAAUAAGAAGAAAUAAUGUAGCAAUUUUUAUAGUUGGCACAAGUAUUUAUCAUAAACUCCACGCAGAAAAGUUAACAUAAAUUAUUUAAUAUUAAUUAUUAAUGAGCUAUAAUUUUGAGACCCCUAAAAAUUUGAGGCCCUGUACAGUCGCACGGCCCGCACACCCUUGUGCACGCCAUGCUACCGAUCAUAACCCGUAGAGAUGCCUUGGGAAACUAUCACAACCGUUGUUAAACAUAUGUACUUUUUAUGUAAUAGAAUAUUAAAAGAAAUGUUUUUCACUAACGCCAUCCUAUUUUUUCACUAGUGGUACACACAAAAGUAAACGUCAGUCAGUGUCUAUGUCUAAGAACCGUGAAAUUAUAUAUUUCCACUUGUGAUCUGUAACACGACCACUAGAAGAAAGUCCUAUUUUCACUAGCGGUUGUUUUAAAAAAUAUAUAUAUUGAC
rnacentral:lncRNA from 1 species